UCCAGGACUGGAGUGGGUGGCCGAGGAAUUGGCUUUUCUACUUUUUCAAGGAAACAGAGGGACUUCUUUGGCUCCUUGACUUUAUUCUUCUUUUCCAGCAGUGCCUGGAAGAGACAUACAAUCUAAUCAGAACUGGGCUAGACAGAACAACACAGUAAGGCCAGUCCUCUAGAUGCUGGCUGUUCCUGAUCACACUGACUACAGGGAGCUGAAAGUAUUUUGCACUUUGUAGGCUUGUGGCUUCUAUUUCUUCCUGCACGUCAACUGAAAAACUGCAUAUAGUCAGUAGAUGAGGCUGUUGGUUGGUCAGAAGAUACUGGUGGGAAAGAACUUCAAAAUCAUAUGUAAGAAGGAAGCAAGAGUUAUUUUGCUAUAUUUACAAGUAAGUCAUCAGAAAUUGCUUAGAGUGAGUCACCUAAAAAUCUAAAAUUGGUAUGAGUUUAAUCUCUAAUAUAAUAUAUUCUUUAGUAAAAGCAUAUUUCAGAUUUUGUUUUCAUUUUAAAACAGAAAUUUCAUUGAACCAAUUAAACACUGACCCAUAUGCAAGCAGAGGCAGUUGUGUCUCUUACUUUCCAUACUCAAUGACAAAAAGAUUAAUGAUUUUCCUGUAAGAUAGAGGUAAGAAUCUUUCAAAACAUGAGAAAUGGGUAGAAAUAUCACAAUCUAAUUAUGGUUUGUAUGUCACUACAGAAUGGUUGUAACUCUUUGCCUUUAACUAUAGGUAUAACGCUUGUUACUGAGAGUUAGAACUGUUACGCAGUCAGAUUUUAUGAAGAGGGUCACUUGAAGAGUGUCUUGCCACUGUUCUGUGGCCCCUCCUUGGUGAAAUGUCUUUGUAUGAUGUGCUAUUACUGCCCACGGUUGACCAAAUGACCCAGGAACACUUUCUUGUAACUUAUGUUUUGAAACUCUUCCCUGCUCGUCUGCAACUGCCCAGUGGCACCCACAGCAAUUGUACGGGUGGCGUAAGUGUGAAAGGGAAACUGCCUGAGACCUUCCUUCUACCAAGAAAAUCCACAAGCUCGUUAAGAGUGGGUUUCAUCUUGCUUGCAGCUGUUUGGUAGCAGGUGCCAAACCUUGUCAGCCAAAGCAGGCUAGGAGUGGCGAUGCCACCACAGCCUCAACUCUUUCAAGUAAUUUUCAAACUGUUCAAGUCCUGCCAACCUCCCAUUGCAAGCUACUAUUGUCAUUUCCAACUGCACAGAAAAGCUUGCCUGCUGUAGGACAUCACACUUCAGCUUGCAAAGGGAAGGGAAGAGAGUACGUGCAUUUAAAGCUCCUUCAAAAUUAUAAUUCCACUACUGUACAGGUUGGAUCUGUAGCCUUUAUUACUGAAUGAACAGAUACAUUUCAGCAAGGAAAAAAUGUGCCUUUUUCUUUUCUCGCUGUCUCUAUUUCAAAUGUUCAAAUACCGUAUUUCACUAGGGAGCAAAACUGAAGAAAAACUUGAGAAAAAAAAUCCCAUGCUGAAUUUCUCUCUCCAGUAACAGGACAUUGAUGGCACUUGCACAGAAUCUAAUUGUGAAAGUGAUGAAGUUUUGAAACUCCAGUGGUCAUUGUACAAAAUUCUUCUUGCAUAUUGGAUCUGACCAUUCAGGCCAGGAUAAGUAAUUGCUCCAGAAAAGGAGAGAGGUUCCUAGGUGGACAGGAUAAAAUGCUUUAUUAUUGAAACCUUCUGCAAUGGACCAUGUUAAUAACGCAAGAAUCAAAGCCUAUAAACUGCUUAUAAGCCAUGUGAAAUGGUUAUAGCUCAAAAUUGAUGAGAGAUUUUCUGAACUGUUUCUUGUAUUUGAUGACCUUAGAGCUCGCUGGCAUGAAGAUUAUAAUAGUGUUUGCUAUGAUUUAGAAGCUGUUUUGCAUGACAGGGUGGGGAAUUGAAAGAAAAAAGCUGCUCUAAUUGUGAUUCUUUUGAAAACAAUGGCUCCUAUGUUUAUCAGUACAAUGUUGCAUUCAUAAGAAUUUAAUAAAACCUUAGCCUCCAAAAAUAUUUCUUGCUAACCAGAACAAAAUACAACCAGAAUAACAACUUUAAAGCCAGAAAAAUCUAUGAGCACUUCUGACACAAGGGAAUUCUUAUUAAUGUAGAUUUGAGAAAUACUGCAGGUCCCAGAAGUGGUUUUAAGUUUUCCUGCCAUCUUUGCUAAAUCAAAAAUGCUUACCAUUUGCUUUCUCUAAUCUGAGGAUUUAAGUUAUUUUAAGAUUUUAAUUUAUUUCAAGAUUUUCAUGUAAGAAAAGAAAAAGAAAAUAUGUUUUUUGCAUUAACUGGUUCUGCCUAACUUACAAGAAGUUACCACUUUUCGUAACAGGGGGAGCAGGGCCCAAGAAUCACUGUAAAAUACUUUCUUUAAAAAGAAAAAAGUAUUAAAUUUCUGAACAACAUACUUCAAAUGUUACUGCCUAGAUAUCACACUCUAAUUUUUCUGAGAUCAGACUACAUUACCUUUUUCAGAUAGUAGGUUCAGAGUCAUGAUAUACUCUGGUUGGACUGGACAGUGAAGGACCACCCAGUUCAACCCCUUUUCAUUUUCCAGGCAAAUGCAGCAAGCAGCAAACGGCACCCGUGCUCUUGGCCCUGCACCUUAGCUUCUCUGCUAGCAUCUGAUAGAAGCAGAACUCUUGACAGGAUAGUGGCUUGAGAAACAACUGUCUCUUCAAAGAAAUCAUUCUUCGGAUUCCUUCCUUAUCUUCUUUGUGAUCCUCUCCCUUUCACAAGACACUAGGUAUAAUUUAUUUUCAUGUACAGCACAGAGUUUACAGUCAUGUUUCUCUUUUUUCCUUUUUGCCCACAAAUGAAGAAGGUGAGAUCAUCAAGGACAAACUGACUGGAUGGCUGCUGCAUCUUGCGUGAUCAAGACUGACAUAAUAGCUCUUAGAGCUUGUCUGAGCAUGAGCCAGCUAACACUGUGUUGGAGAUCUGUUCUUGAUGAAAUAACUGCUUGAACAGGUUUUCCUGCGCUUUGAAGUUGGCAGAGAUUUUCUCCAGAGAUUUUCUCAGCCCCCCCACUACUUCUCCACCUCCUUCCAGCAACCAGAUAAAGGAAAACAGAUGGGAUGAGAGUCGUGCUUAAUGCUGAGCCUUCUGAUGAUUUUGCCAGUGGUCAUCCAAGCGCUUGGCAUCCAGCUCAGUCUGAUUCUCCUCUCGCCUCUGCAGCAGCUUCUUUAAGAUCACCAGCCGAACCUCCUGCAACCUGCAAGAAUAGAAAAGGCCAGAACAAAAAUGGAAUUCUAAUGUAAGCAUGUGCAACUUCCAUUGACUCUACUAGGAACUGAAUCUUCUUACGUCCCCUCAACAUCUGAUCCUCAUUGAAACCCACACUGGACUACCUCAUGGAUGCUCUACACCACUGAACAGUAUUGCAAGUAUCACGGAGACUGUAAUAAAAUAUCAGAAGAUUUUCCAACAAUAAUGCUGCCUUGGAUUGGUAUCUCUUCUAGGAUUCAGAGACACCUGACUUUGGUUUUGGGCUUCAUAAUCAUAAUACAAUUGAGGCACAUGUCCUUAACCCACAAAGCACCAUUCACAUACUGCAAGCAAAUUCUGAAGCAGUUGGUCACCUGUUUCCUCAGGAACUCUCAAUGGUGAACGAACCCUUACCUCUUAACAAGGUUUUCCUGUUGGUUCAUUAUGAAAAAUAUUGGUCACCAGCUCAAUAUUUUCCCACCCUUUUUCUGGUGAGAUGUGACCCAUUGCAACAGUAAUGUUCCAGAAC